rnacentral:rRNA from 1 species
UGACUGCGUACCUUUUGUAUAAUGGGUCAGCGACUUAUAUUCUGUAGCAAGGUUAACCGAAUAGGGGAGCCGGAGGGAAACCGAGUCUUAAUUGGGCGUUAAGUUGCAGGGUAUAGACCCGAAACCCGGUGAUCUAGCCAUGGGCAGGUUGAAGGUUGGGUAACACUAACUGGAGGACCGAACCGACUAAUGUUGAAAAAUUAGCGGAUGACCUGUGGCUGGGGGUGAAAGGCCAAUCAAACCGGGAGAUAGCUGGUUCUCCCCGAAAGCUAUUUAGGUAGCGCCUCGUGAAUUCAUCUCCGGGGGUAGAGCACUGUUUCGGCUAGGGGGCCAUCCCGGCUUACCAACCCGAUGCAAACUGCGAAUACCGGAGAAUGUUAUCACGGGAGACACACGGCGGGUGCUAACGUCCGUCGUGAAGAGGGAAACAACCCAGACCGCCAGCUAAGGUCCCAAAGUCAUGGUUAAGUGGGAAACGAUGUGGGAAGGCCCAGACAGCCAGGAUGUUGGCUUAGAAGCAGCCAUCAUUUAAAGAAAGCGUAAUAGCUCACUGGUCGAGUCGGCCUGCGCGGAAGAUGUAACGGGGCUAAACCAUGCACCGAAGCUGCGGCAGCGACACUCAGGUGUUGUUGGGUAGGGGAGCGUUCUGUAAGCCUGCGAAGGUGGCCUGUGAGGGUUGCUGGAGGUAUCAGAAGUGCGAAUGCUGACAUAAGUAACGAUAAAGCGGGUGAAAAGCCCGCUCGCCGGAAGACCAAGGGUUCCUGUCCAACGUUAAUCGGGGCAGGGUGAGUCGACCCCUAAGGCGAGGCCGAAAGGCGUAGUCGAUGGGAAACGGGUUAAUAUUCCCGUACUUGGUGUUACUGCGAAGGGGGGACGGAGAAGGCUAUGUUGGCCGGGCGACGGUUGUCCCGGUUUAAGCGUGUAGGUGUGUGUUCCAGGUAAAUCCGGUUCACUUUAACACUGAGGCGUGACGACGAGGCACUACGGUGCUGAAGCAACAAAUGCCCUGCUUCCAGGAAAAGCCUCUAAGCAUCAGGUAACACGAAAUCGUACCCCAAACCGACACAGGUGGUCAGGUAGAGAAUACCAAGGCGCUUGAGAGAACUCGGGUGAAGGAACUAGGCAAAAUGGUGCCGUAACUUCGGGAGAAGGCACGCUGACAUGUAGGUGAAGUGAUUUACUCAUGGAGCUGAAGUCAGUCGAAGAUACCAGCUGGCUGCAACUGUUUAUUAAAAACACAGCACUGUGCAAACACGAAAGUGGACGUAUACGGUGUGACGCCUGCCCGGUGCCGGAAGGUUAAUUGAUGGGGUCAGCGCAAGCGAAGCUCCUGAUCGAAGCCCCGGUAAACGGCGGCCGUAACUAUAACGGUCCUAAGGUAGCGAAAUUCCUUGUCGGGUAAGUUCCGACCUGCACGAAUGGCGUAAUGAUGGCCAGGCUGUCUCCACCCGAGACUCAGUGAAAUUGAACUCGCUGUGAAGAUGCAGUGUACCCGCGGCAAGACGGAAAGACCCCGUGAACCUUUACUAUAGCUUGACACUGAACAUUGAGCCUUGAUGUGUAGGAUAGGUGGGAGGCUUUGAAGUGUGGACGCCAGUCUGCAUGGAGCCGACCUUGAAAUACCACCCUUUAAUGUUUGAUGUUCUAACGUGGACCCGUGAUCCGGGUUGCGGACAGUGUCUGGUGGGUAGUUUGACUGGGGCGGUCUCCUCCUAAAGAGUAACGGAGGAGCACGAAGGUUGGCUAAUCCUGGUCGGACAUCAGGAGGUUAGUGCAAUGGCAUAAGCCAGCUUGACUGCGAGCGUGACGGCGCGAGCAGGUGCGAAAGCAGGUCAUAGUGAUCCGGUGGUUCUGAAUGGAAGGGCCAUCGCUCAACGGAUAAAAGGUACUCCGGGGAUAACAGGCUGAUACCGCCCAAGAGUUCAUAUCGACGGCGGUGUUUGGCACCUCGAUGUCGGCUCAUCACAUCCUGGGGCUGAAGUAGGUCCCAAGGGUAUGGCUGUUCGCCAUUUAAAGUGGUACGCGAGCUGGGUUUAGAACGUCGUGAGACAGUUCGGUCCCUAUCUGCCGUGGGCGCUGGAGAACUGAGGGGGGCUGCUCCUAGUACGAGAGGACCGGAGUGGACGCAUCACUGGUGUUCGGGUUGUCAUGCCAAUGGCACUGCCCGGUAGCUAAAUGCGGAAGAGAUAAGUGCUGAAAGCAUCUAAGCACGAAACUUGCCCCGAGAUGAGUUCU